rnacentral:rRNA from 1 species
UGGCAGUCACGGGUAACGGGGAAUUAGGGUUCGAUUCCGGAGAGGGAGCCUGAGAAAUGGCUACCACUUCUAAGGAAGGCAGCAGGCGCGUAAAUUACCCAAUCCUGAUUCAGGGAGGUAGUGACAAGAAAUAACAACUCGGUACCCUCACGGGUAUGCGGGAUUGAAAUGAGAACAAUUUAAACCACUUAUCCAGUAACAAUUGGAGGGCAAGUCUGGUGCCAGCAGCCGCGGUAAUUCCAGCUCCAAUAGCGUAUAUUAAAGUUGUUGCAGUUAAAAAGCUCGUAGUUGAAUUUCUGGCCAGCCUUGUUCUGCGCAUUAGCCGGUUCAAGGUUUGGUCAUCCGUAGGGGAAACAGGUUCGUACUUCACUGUACGGCCUGCGGAACCUACAAUUUACUGUGAAAAAAUUAGAGUGUUCCAGGCAGGCAAUCGCUUGAAUACUCCAGCAUGGAAUAAUGGAAUAAGACUUUAGUCGAUUUGUUGGUUUGAGGCUAAAGUAAUGAUUAAUAGGGACAGUUGGGGGCAUUCGUAUUUAAUUGUCAGAGGUGAAAUUCUUGGAUUUAUUAAAGACGAACUUAUGCGAAAG